GUUCGUCUUCAGGGACAGGGUGAAAUUCCCGACCGGUGGUGAUAGUCCACGAACUAUAUGAGCAAUCAUAUAGCCGAAUCGGUGUAAUUCCGAUACCGACAGUAAAGUCUGGAUAAAGAAGAUAGGG
rfam:Enterococcus italicus DSM 15952 genomic scaffold SCAFFOLD1, whole genome shotgun sequence.